UACGUAGGGUGCAAGCGUUGUCCGGAAUUAUUGGGCGUAAAGAGCUCGUAGGCGGUUCGUCGCGUCGGCUGUGAAAUCCCGAGGCUCAACCUCGGGUCUGCAGUCGAUACGGGCGGACUGGAGUACUGCAGGGGGAGACUGGAAUUCCUGGUGUAGCGGUGAAAUGCGCAGAUAUCAGGAGGAACACCGGUGGCGAAGGCGGGUCUCUGGGCAGUUACUGACGCUGGAGGAGCGAAAGCGUGGGGAGCGAACAGG
rnacentral:rRNA from 1 species